rnacentral:rRNA from 1 species
GACGAACGCUGGCGGCGUGCCUAAUACAUGCAAGUCGAACGCUUUUUCUUUCACCGGAGCUUGCUCCACCGAAAGAAAAAGAGUGGCGAACGGGUGAGUAACACGUGGGUAACCUGCCCAUCAGAAGGGGAUAACACUUGGAAACAGGUGCUAAUACCGUAUAACACUAUUUUCCGCAUGGAAGAAAGUUGAAAGGCGCUUUUGCGUCACUGAUGGAUGGACCCGCGGUGCAUUAGCUAGUUGGUGAGGUAACGGCUCACCAAGGCAACGAUGCAUAGCCGACCUGAGAGGGUGAUCGGCCACACUGGGACUGAGACACGGCCCAGACUCCUACGGGAGGCAGCAGUAGGGAAUCUUCGGCAAUGGACGAAAGUCUGACCGAGCAACGCCGCGUGAGUGAAGAAG